CUCACUCAAGCAUCUUGCCUCUCCACUCCUUUACCUUUUUUUCUUUCUUUUCUUUUUUUUUAAAUGCAAAUCCACCUCUACUCCUAUCUUGGAUUCCACCACUGCCUCUUUCAACCCUCUCCCUCUCUCUCUCCUCUUUCACCACCAUCACCUUCUCUCCUACUCUCCCUACCUCCUCCUUUCCUUGGUGGUGGUGGUGUUGACAAACCAUAAGGGGGAGAGCGAGAGUGAGAAGGAGAGAGGGUGACCAAGAGGAGAAAUAGGGGAAGGAGUUGGCUAUUUAGACAUGCCUCUCUUAUCACUUAAUACUAUUUUCUAGUCUU
rnacentral:lncRNA from 1 species